UACAGAGGUCUCAAGCGUUGUUCGGAUUCAUUGGGCGUAAAGGGUGCGUAGGCGGCGCGGUAAGUCGGGUGUGAAAUCUCGGAGCUUAACUCCGAAACUGCAUUCGAUACUGCCGUGCUUGAGGACUGGAGAGGAGACUGGAAUUUACGGUGUAGCGGUGAAAUGCGUAGAUAUCUGGAGGAACACCGGUGGCGAAGGCGGCAUCCUGGACCAAUACUGACGCUGAGGCGCGAAAGCGUGGGGAGCAAACAGG
rnacentral:rRNA from 1 species